AUGAGCCCGCCCCCGCCGCCGCGGAGAGCAAGAGCCUCUACGAUAUUAGGGGUUGCGAGCACAGCUUCACAACAGGAGAUAAAAAAGGCAUAUCACAAGUUGGCCUUGCGUCUUCACCCAGAUAAGAAUCCUGGAGAUGAGGAAGCCAACGAAAAAUUUCAGCAGCUGCAAAAGGUGAUAUCUAUUCUUGGAGAUCAGGAGAAAAGGGCAUUGUAUGAUGAGACUGGAAUUACUGAUGAUGAUGCACUGGUUGGAGAAGCUGCAGACAAUCUCCAAGCGUACUUCAGAACAGUGUACAGAAAGGUCACAGAGGCUGACAUUGAAGAAUUUGAAGCUAAGUAUAGAGGGUCAGACUCUGAGAAAAAGGAUUUAAAGGAACUGUACACAAAAUUUAAGGGCAACAUGAACAGACUCUUCUGCUCAAUGAUUUGCUCAGAUGCCAAGCUUGAUUCUCACCGCUUCAAAGAUAUAAUUGAUCAGGCAAUUGCUGAAGGCGAGGUGAAGUCCACCAAAGUGUAUGCGAAAUGGGCUAAAAAGAUCUCUGAGAUAGAACCACCCACAAACCCAUUGGAGAGGAGAGUGAAGAAAAAGAAGAGCCAGGAGAGCGACCUCAUCCUGGCGAUCUCGCAGCGCAGGGAACAGAGGAAGGAGCGGUUUGACUCUGUUCUGUCAUCUAUAAUGUCCAAGUGUGAUGACAACAAGGCGGGCAGCUCAGAGCCCACGGAGGAGGAGUUUGAGCGCGCUCGGCAGAGGCUUGAGAAGAAGCGCACCAAGGGGCGCAAAUGGUAUGAAUCUUGA
rnacentral:rRNA from 1 species